GAGUCUGGUCAGUAUGCUCAGCUGAACGGCUAAGUGGUUAGAUGAAGAUUUUCACCUGCAAAAAGUGUUGCUGCACGCACAGGAGUGCUCUGGGUCGCACACAGCAACGAUGAUAGGUCAAGCUUUUGAAACCAUGCUUGUAAAGUGGAAUAUAACAAAAGACAAAGUGCAUGUUGUGCUCAGGGAUAACACACGCAAUAUGACCAAGGCUAUGGAGGACCGUGGGCUUGCAAGCUUAGGCUGGAUGGCACACACUUUACGGCUCGCUGUAAACGAGGCUGUGCUGAGCCAGAGCAGGAAAAUAGUUGGUCACUUCAAGAACUCUCAAUUUGCCACCCCAUCUGAAAGAUUUACAGACACAACUAGGCACAAAAGACACAAGACUUCAACAAGACGUGCCCACCAGGUGGAACAGCACGUUUUACAUGCUGAGAAGUUUGUCAGAGCAGAGGCGAGCCUUGCAGCUUAUGCAGUAGAUUUCGAGUUACCUGUGUUUCUGAGCACAUAUCAAUGGACUUUAAUUGAGAACUUGGUAACUAUACUUGACCCAUGUGAACAGCUGACAAAAGACAUCAGCUCAGCUACAGCCACAGCAGCUGAUGUGAUCCCCUCUAUUGAAGCCCUAAAACGUCUGUUAAACAAGACUGUUGUAACAGAUCAUGGAAUUAAAACUUCAAAGAGCACCUUACUGCAAGCCAUAGAGCAGCGAAUCAGUCACAUCUGUACAGAGCCUCUGUUCUAUCUUGCUGCAAUCUUGAACCCCAGAUGGACUGCCAUUUUAACUAAGCAACGAAAAGGGAAGCAACAGAAAUUCUGCGUGCCAAGGUGAGUGUUGGAGAAAAUGUGGAUGAGCCAAAAAGGAAGAAGUCCUAGGCGGAUGACAACAACAAUGCUACGAUGUCACAUUAGAGCUUACACAAAGCCAAGCAGAAGGACAGAUAAAAGAAUAUCUGUCAAAGCCCCCGAUUCCCAGAACUGAGAGCCCGUGGUAUACUGGAGAAGCAACAAAUCCCGGUUCCCUAGCAUUGCCUCACUUGUACAGAAAUACCUGUCAGCCCCUUGUACAAGUAUAGACAGUGAAUGCUUGUUUUCUGCUGCCGCAAAUGUUAUUGAUGAAAGAAGAAACAGAAUUGGGUGUGAGAAGGCAGAGAUGCUACUCUUUAUCAAGAAAAAUCUUCCACUGAUGCCCUCACAUAAAUGGAAAAGACAAAUAAAAGGACAUUGGACAAAGUGAAAAGAGAAAAGAUGUUAAGUUGAAAUUGAAAAAUUUACAUUUUUUAAAUUUUUAUUUUCAGCUAACAUUUCAGAGAAAUCUGUACUCUAUUCUAUGCAGCUAAAACAGCAAUAAGUCUGCAAAUGCUUUUUGUUGAGAGAUGCACUUUAUUUUCAUGUUUUUGGAUUUAUGGAGUUGAGGUUGACAUAUGUCAAUGCAUUUAAUUUAUUUCAUAGUUGAAAAAUAUGUGACUCAAAAACUACUUCAUCCUCAGGCUCUAAAGGUUGUAUUAUUUUGUUAUGUAUAAAAUGCUUGAAUAUAAAUUUUGUUAUUUCCAGAUAAACAAGUCACAGUUCUGUGAAACCCUUUUCUCGAAAGAUGCAAUUUUUGCUUUAGUUGGAAUUUGAUCUCAGUACAUUUGAUACACAUACAUUUUCAUUUACAGCAACUGACCAAAGGCAUAAGGUUUUAGUUUUGAAAAGUGUAGCAGCCUGUGUAAACAAUCACAGAAGAUUUUAUUUAGACUUAUUUUUGUUUGAGAAAAUGCACUGUGCUAUUCAUUUUAGCUGUUUGAUAUUUUCGCAAAAAUACAAAGGUUGUGCAACAAAAUAUUAAGUUAUGGGUACCAUCAUUUUUGUCCAGCCCUAUUUCAUUAGUUUGUUUUUUUAAAUAAUUAUGUUAAUCAACAAUUCAAAAGUAAUGGCUGUUUUUGAUUAUUUAAUUUUCAAUAAAUUUUUAUUUAUUGUUA